UACGUAGGGGGGCGAGCGUUGUCCGGAAUCAUUGGGCGUAAAGAGCGUGUAGGCGGUCCGUUAAGUCGGCUGUGAAAGUCCAGGGCUCAACCCUGGGAUGCCGGUCGAUACUGCCGGACUAGAGUUCGGAAGAGGAGAAUGGAAUUCCCGGUGUAGCGGUGAAAUGCGCAGAUAUCGGGAAGAACACCCGUGGCGAAGGCGGUUCUCUGGGACGGUACUGACGGCUGAGACGCGAAAGCGUGGGGAGCGAACAGG
rnacentral:rRNA from 1 species